rnacentral:rRNA from 1 species
AGAGUUUGAUCCUGGCUCAGAUUGAACGCUGGCGGCAUGCUUUACACAUGCAAGUCGAACGGCAGCACGGGUGCUUGCACCUGGUGGCGAGUGGCGAACGGGUGAGUAAUAUAUCGGAACGUACCCGGCAAUGGGGGAUAGCUCGGCGAAAGCCGGAUUAAUACCGCAUAUGCCCUGAGGGGGAAAGUGGGGGACCGUAAGGCCUCACGUUGUCGGAGCGGCCGAUAUCAGAUUAGCUAGUUGGUGGGGUAAAGGCCUACCAAGGCGACGAUCUGUAGCGGGUCUGAGAGGAUGAUCCGCCACACUGGGACUGAGACACGGCCCAGACUCCUACGGGAGGCAGCAGUGGGGAAUUUUGGACAAUGGGGGAAACCCUGAUCCAGCCAUGCCGCGUGAGUGAAGAAGGCCUUCGGGUUGUAAAGCUCUUUCGGACGGAAAGAAAUCCUAUUCACUAAUACUGAGUGGGGAUGACGGUACCGUAAGAAGAAGCACCGGCUAACUACGUGCCAGCAGCCGCGGU